rnacentral:rRNA from 1 species
CUUGCCUCAAAUAAGAGGUCCAGCCUGCCCAGUGACACUGUUCAACGGCCGCGGUAUCCUAACCGUGCGAAGGUAGCGUAAUCACUUGUUCUUUAAAUGAGGACUAGUAUGAAAGGCAUCACGAGAGUCAUACUGUCUCCUUUUUCCAAUCAGUUAAACUAAUCUCCCCGUGAAGAAGCGAGGAUAGUUCUAUAAGACGAGAAGACCCUAUGGAGCUUUAAACAAAUAACACUUGCCUACUCCCUCCUUUAAUUUCAGAAAAAUCUCCCACUUUGGCAUGAUACUUAUAAGUUUUUGAUUGGGGUGAUCACGGAACAAAAAACAACCUCCGCAAUGAAAGACACUCCCCUAACUAAGUUAAGAACUACAGCUCUAUACAUCAACAAAUUGACACUAAUUGACCCAAUAUAUUGAUCAAUGAAC